GACAGAGGUGCCAAGCGUUAGGCGGAAUCACUGGGCUUAAAGCGUGUGUAGGCGGAAUGGUAAGUACCUUGUGAAAUCCCACGGCUCAACCGUGGAACUGCUGGGUAUACUGCUUUUCUUGAGCCACUUAGGGGCUGUCGGAACAAACGGUGGAGCGGUGAAAUGCGUAGAUAUCGUCUGGAACGCCGAAGGUGAAAACAGCUCGCUGGGGCUGCGCUGACGCUGAGACACGAAAGCCAGGGGAGCGAACGGG
rnacentral:rRNA from 1 species